rnacentral:rRNA from 1 species
UGGGGAAUAUUGCACAAUGGGCGCAAGCCUGAUGCAGCCAUGCCGCGUGUAUGAAGAAGGCCUUCGGGUUGUAAAGUACUUUCAGCGAGGAGGAAGGCGGUAAGGUUAAUAACCUUAUCGAUUGACGUUGCUCGCAGAAGAAGCACCGGCUAACUCCGUGCCAGCAGCCGCGGUAAUACGGAGGGUGCAAGCGUUAAUCGGAAUUACUGGGCGUAAAGCGCACGCAGGCGGUAUGUCAAGUCGGAUGUGAAAUCCCCGGGCUCAACCUGGGAACUGCAUUCGAAACUGGCAGGCUAGAGUCUUGUAGAGGGGGGUAGAAUUCCAGGUGUAGCGGUGAAAUGCGUAGAGAUCUGGAGGAAUACCGGUGGCGAAGGCGGCCCCCUGGACAAAGACUGACGCUCAGGUGCGAAAGCGUGGGGAGCAAACA